AUGAAUGAAGAACAUUGGUUUUUCUAUAAAACAGUAAAUCCUGGGAUAAUUGCUAAAUUCGUAGAUCUGGGAAAAAAUAUCUAUGGGCUGAAACUAUUGGAACUAGGCCAGCUACUGCACGCGCUGCACAUGGGUGGGCUUCAGUGGGCGUCUCACCUCGGGCCAGAUCUGGCCUGCCGGUGGAGAGGGGGCUGCUGGGCCGGAGGUGCGCUGGGCCUUGACGGCGCUACAGAUGAGGUGGCCCACGAGCGGGCGAUGCACGCGAGCAAGAGUGCAGCGCUCGAGCUGCUGCUAGACACAGAGGAAGCAUGGGAACUUGUCACGGCGGAACUCUCUAGGGAAGAAGCAACGGUAGCAGGAACUCUGCGCGACGGUGAUAGCUUGCAGGGAGGUCCAGGAUGGCGGGAUCUGGCCAAGAAUGGGCGACCUAGAGGAGGCCAGCCGGAUCUGGAGCGAGCUGUGGCAGCUUGA
rnacentral:rRNA from 1 species